GCCAGUGUGGUGUAGAGGUUUGAGUGCUGGACUCCAACUCUGGAGAUUAGGGUUCGAUUCCCAGCUCAGGCG